UCGAUUUGUGACGAGACUCCGACUCGUCACAAAUUGUGUCUAAGAUGCAAAUAUGUGGCUGCUGAUGUGGAAAACCAGAUAUUGGAUCAGAUUGUCCAGCAUUGCAGGUCAGACAAGCUCAGGAGAAGGCUGCUAGAAAAAGGGGGAAGGCAUGAAGCCCA